rnacentral:tRNA from 1 species
UAGAUAGAGGCCUGUUGGUUAGGGCACCUAGCUGUUAAUUAGGGGGUUUGUGGGAUCGAAGCCCACCUGUCUAG